rnacentral:rRNA from 1 species
CAGUAGUCACGUAGUUUGACUCCUGGCUCAGAACGAACGCUGGCGGCAUGCCUAACACAUGCAAGUCGAACGAACCCUUCGGGGUUAGUGGCGCACGGGUGCGUAACGCGUGGGGAUCUGCCCAAAGGUUCGGAAUAACUCAGAGAAAUUUGAGCUAAUACCGGAUAAUGUCUUCGGACCAAAGAUUUAUUGCCUUUGGAUGAACCCGCGUAGGAUUAGCUUGUUGGUGGGGUAAAGGCCUACCAAGGCGACGAUCCUUAGCUGGUCUGAGAGGAUGAUCAGCCACACUGGGACUGAGACACGGCCCAGACUCCUACGGGAGGCAGCAGUGGGGAAUAUUGGACAAUGGGCGAAAGCCUGAUCCAGCAAUGCCGCGUGAGUGGUGAAGGCCUUAGGGUUGUAAAGCUCUUUUACCAGGGAUGAUAAUGACAGUACCUGGAGAAUAAGCUCCGGCUAACUCCGUG